rnacentral:rRNA from 1 species
UACGGGGGGAGCAAGCGUUGUUCGGAUUUACUGGGCGUAAAGGGCGCGUAGGCGGCGCAACAAGUCACUUGUGAAAUCUCCGGGCUUAACCCGGAGCGGCCAAGUGAUACUGUCGUGCUAGAGUGCGGAAGGGGCUACUGGAAUUCUCGGUGUAGCGGUGAAAUGCGUAGAUAUCGAGAGGAACACCGGCGGCGAAGGCGGGUUGCUGGCUGACACUGACGCUGAUGCGCGAAAGCUAGGGGAGCGAACAGG